UUUCUAGAGGCCAUCUUUCCCCUUGGCUCAUGGUCCCUUCCUUCAUCUUCAAAGCCAGCGGUGUAGCAUCGUAGCAUCUUCAUGUCUCCUUGGGAUAAGAUGGGGCUCUCCUGGAUGAUUCAAGAAAGAAAAUAUCUGAAUAGCUCGCAAAAUGAAUGAGUCAUGUGGCUUCUGCAGCAGCCCAAGUGGUGGAAAUCAGACUGUUCUUGUCCUCGGGAAAACAACACUAAGCCACAUCUGUGAUGAGCCAGAAAUCAGUUUUAUGUAAAAGAAUAUGUGAGGGAACAGAAAGGGGAAGAAGUCUGGAAAAUCCAUGGCACAAACCCACAGCAAAUUCAUCCUGAAGUUUGCACGUGUCACUUACCAAUGCGAAAAGACUGGAAUCAAGACAGCUCUUCAAGAGGCCUGAAACCAUCAUGCACUGAAAUCAGAAUCAAGGACCUCCCUGGGUUUUACACACAGUUCCAGCUACAGAAAAGUUUCAGGAUAAGUUAGUAUCCACUGGGACUUUGCAGACCAGAAUAAGAAUUACCCACCAAAGACCAUACAUGACAUGGAAUCAGAAAGCUUCCAAAUUCAUAUGGGUGUUUGUAUUACUUUGCAACUAAUUUAUCACCAAGCCUUUUAUCAUAUAUCACUAGACAUUUUAAUAUAUGUAGGGUUCCAUUCUUUCCUAUCCUGUUAUUUGCUAAAACAUUUCUAGCUUCGCCUAUCCCAUUUAUAUCCUUGUCUAACCCUCUGCCAUUUUCACAUAGAUUUGGGGGCUUUCGAGAUACGGAGGUUGGAGGAAAUGGUGAAAGGCAUGGGGGAGAAAGGCAAGCGGUGCUUAAGGCAGGGCUGGAGGGGAAGCCUCAAAGAUGUUGGACACUUCUGGGAAUCUUACGGGAAAGAAAAUGGAACGUUAACUGUAGUGAGUUUUGUACAUCCUUAGUAAUAAAAAUAAAGAAUGUGGGUAAUUGAAA